CGAUCAAGAGACUAAGGGCACACGGUGGAUGCCUUGGCGCCAAGAGCCGAAGAAGGACGUGGGCGGCUGCGAAAAGCCCGGGUUAGGUGCUGACCAACCUUUGACCCGGGAUCUCCGAAUGGGGCAACCC
rnacentral:rRNA from 1 species